rnacentral:tmRNA from 1 species
GGGGAUGUAAAGGUUUCGACAGGGGCGAGUGUGGUAUAGAUAGCGAGUCGGCGUUCCAUUGGGCCGUUAAAAACGCAGAAGAAAAUUUUGCAUUAGCUGCAUAAGCUACGUCCCUCAUACUUGUGCCUACCAAGUGUGAAUGGACGUCAAACCGUAGGCUGGCUUAAUUUAGUCGUUCAUAUGAAUUAGGCGAGACAAUAUGAACUGGAGUACUGUAGUUUGUCUGUGAGCGAUAGGUACUUGAGACUUAAAUCAUAGACUGUGCUCGGAGAGGUCUAUAUGGCAACGCUUUUGGACAGGAGUUCGACUCUCCUCAUCUCCACCA